rnacentral:rRNA from 1 species
GACGAACGCUGGCGGCGCGCUUAAUACAUGCAAGUCGAACGAGAAGCCAGAGCUUGCUCUGGUGGAAAGUGGCGAACGGGUGAGUAACACGUGAGAAACCUGCCCAAAGAUUGGGAUAAGCCUUGGAAACGAGGUCUAAUACCAAAUACCUUCCUUUUAACACAUGUUAAAAAGAAGAAAUGCUCCGGCGCUUUGGGAUGGUCUCGCGAUCUAUCAGCUUGUUGGUGAGGUAACGGCUCACCAAGGCAUCGACGGAUAGCUGGUCUGAGAGGAUGUCCAGCCACAUUGGAACUGAGACACGGUCCAAACUCCUACGGGAGGCAGCAGUAGGGAAUCUUGCACAAUGAGGGAACCUUGAUGCAGCGACGCCGCGUGCGGGACGAAGGCCCUAGGGUUGUAAACCGCUUUCAGUAGGGACGAAAGUGACGGUACCUACAGAAGAAGCCCCGGCCAACUAUGUGCCAGCAGCCGCGGUAAU